rnacentral:rRNA from 1 species
GUGUCAGCCGCCGCGGUAAUACGAAGGGGGCUAGCGUUGUUCGGAAUUACUGGGCGUAAAGCGCGCGUAGGCGGUGGUCCAUGUCAGAGGUGAAAUCCCGGAGCUCAACUCCGGAACUGCCUUUGAAACGGGGCCGCUAGAGUCCGAGAGAGGAUGGCGGAAUUCCUAGUGUAGAGGUGAAAUUCGUAGAUAUUAGGAAGAACACCGGUGGCGAAGGCGGCCAUCUGGCUCGGUACUGACGCUCAGGCGCGAAAGCGUGGGGAUCAAACAGGAUUAGAUACCCUAGUAGUCC